CAGUGGAAGAAAAGGAACACAAACAACAUCUUCAAAUACUAAAAAAUAACUUUAACCCAAGUUUCUGCAGCUAGAAAAUUGAAAUUUUUAGCUUGAGGAAAAUGUAGAAAACUUUUCACACAGAAUCUGGAGCACACAUUCUCGGUCUUUGUACAGGACAGGAAAUGCCCACAUGACACAUCCAGGCAAAAGUGGGUGGCAGUGGAUAAAAGUCUCAUUUGUACAAAGAUGGAAAACAGGAAUGAAUUUUAAAACUUUCUUUUCUUAUUUGAAUGUCUAUGACAGAUGGAACCUGUCCUCAAAAUUAUAAGGAGGCACCCUGGGGUGUGUAAUUUAUGACACCCAAAUGCCUGAGGACAGCACAGUUGACAACUGUUUCCUGCAGAAUCCUGCUGCUAGGAAAGCUAGGAGGAUCCUCCAGGCAGGAGGCCUCCAGGGGGACUGUCAGGAACAGGCUCAGCCACCAGGAGGCCCCAGUGUCCUGCCUCCUGAGUCCCCUCUAGCUGUUCAACACUCUCCCCUCUACACAGGAGAGGGCUGGCCUGUCACAUAUCCAGGAUGAGGAAGUGGCAGUGAGUGACUCCAGAGGCCAGGACACUGAGACUCCUGCCUGCUGACCACUCUGGGAGGAGAACUGCUCCAGAGGAAGCCAGAGGACCCCUGGUGAGGAUGCUCAGGCAGUCCAGGGCAGGGCCACAGUGAGAACUCCAGGCACUUGCUAUGGCAGCCUCAGCUGGCCAACAUAGGGGAGGCCCCUGGAGACCCACCAGAGAAGUCCUUCCAUGGCUGCCCCAUGGUUAACAGCCCACAACACCUGGG
rnacentral:lncRNA from 1 species